UNGGCAAUGUCACCACUUAAAAGUGGAAC
rnacentral:piRNA from 1 species